AACUAUAUAAUGAAGGAAGCCAGUACACCGGUAGCAAACCAGGAUCCACGCAGAUAAACUGGCAUGAUCUCCUCACCUCAAGAUCAUUAAUUCAAUCACAUUUGCAAGGAAUCCUUUUUUGCAAUAAGCCUUCUUUGCAGUGAGGUUUGGCCAGUGACAAGAAGGAGAAUUGUUCUGUGGGGCUUUCAGAGUUGCUCCUAAUAUGAAGCUGACUCAGCUAGU